rnacentral:rRNA from 1 species
GACGAACGCUGGCGGCGUGCUUAACACAUGCAAGUCGAACGGAAAGGCCCUGCUUUUGUGGGGUGCUCGAGUGGCGAACGGGUGAGUAACACGUGAGUAACCUGCCCUUGACUUUGGGAUAACUUCAGGAAACUGGGGCUAAUACCGGAUAGGAGCUCCUGCUGCAUGGUGGGGGUUGGAAAGUUUCGGCGGUUGGGGAUGGACUCGCGGCUUAUCAGCUUGUUGGUGGGGUAGUGGCUUACCAAGGCUUUGACGGGUAGCCGGCCUGAGAGGGUGACCGGCCAAAUUGGGACUGGGAUACGGCCCAGACUCCUACGGGGGGCAGGAGUGGGGAAUAUUGCACAAUGGGCGGAAGCCUGAUGCAGCAACGCCGCGUGCGGGAUGACGGCCUUCGGGUUGUAAACCGCUUUCGCCUGUGACGAAGCGUGAGUGACGGUAAUGGGUAAAGAAGCACCGGCUAACUACGUG